CCUACGUGAGGCAGCAGUGAGGAAUAUUGGUCAAUGGCCGAGAGGCUGAACCAGCCAAGUCGCGUGAGGGAAGAAUGUCCUAUGGAUUGUAAACCUCUUUUGUCAGGGAGCAAAGUCACCCACGUGUGGGUGUUGGAGAGUACCUGAAGAAAAAGCAUCGGCUAACUCCGUGCCAGCAGCCGCGGUAAUACGGAGGAUGCGAGCGUUAUCCGGAUUUAUUGGGUUUAAAGGGUGCGUAGGCGGGUUAUCAAGUCAGCGGUAAAAUCGUGGAGCUCAACUCCAUCCAGCCGUUGAAACUGAUGAUCUGGAGUGGGCGAGAAGUAUGCGGAAUGCGUGGUGUAGCGGUGAAAUGCUUAGAUAUGACGAAGAACCCCGAUUGAGAAGGCAGCUUGCUGCAGCGGAACUGACGCUGAUGCUCGAAAGCGCGGGUAUCGAACAGGAUUAGAUACCCCAGUAGUC
rnacentral:rRNA from 1 species